AGGGUGAUGAUGGAAUUGGUAGACAUGAACAGUUUAGGCCUGUUUGAUAUAUUUGUAUCUGUAUCCGUUCAAGUCGGAUUCACCUUA